UUCUUUCUUAGAAGCUAAAUCUUAAUUGCUAUGAAUUCUUCUUUCUUGGUUGUGUUGAGCAGUCUUCAAGCCUCAGCUCUCCUGUUUAUAUGAAUAAGGUAUUGUCGCACAAUAGGCCAAUUCCCUAAAUCUUUUCACUAGGAAUAUGCUAAUUUCCUUUUUACUAUCUAGGAAAUUAAAAUUCUUCUUGUUGUUUCCUUUAUCUCCAUGAAGGAAGUGUUCUAUAUACUACACCCACCCCUU
rnacentral:lncRNA from 1 species